CACACGGGGUGAGAACUAUAUAAAUAUAGUUCCCAGUGGGUUCGGCCGCCGACUCCGCCGAUCUUCCCACUAGGUCUAAGCUGGCACAGAUAGAUAGAUAGAAAGAUAUAUGGAAAUAAACUGCUACUAUAUCUACUAUGCCAUCAAUGUAAAAAAUGCAUGGAACAUCAUCUAGCAACAAUCUACUAUCAUGCUAAUAUGCCUCAACAGUGAAAUGAAUACAACUAUAACAUAGUUAUGCAAUGCACUAUGUCUAUUCAUAGUAUGAAUGCAAUCCUCUUAUGCUAUUCAUGUUAUUACCCAAUCCGCUAGGCUAACUCGCCUAAGAUCUCAAAUCCAGGAGGUGAAGAGCUACCCCGCUCUUUUCCCGCCUAACUCAUAACUCAAAGGUCCUAGACAAAGAGUUACCCCGCUCCUUGCCCGACUCAUAUCUUGUAGGUCCGACCCAAUCUCGAAAGUCCUAGGUAAAGAGCUACCCCGCUCCUCACCCGACUCACAUCUCGACGGUCCGACUCAAUCUCGACUAGGUACAGGCUACCUCGCUCAAAUCUCAUAGGUGAAGGAAUAGUAUGUCACUCACUGUAUGUAGGCAAAUCCACUACUCUGACUACCAAGCGACUAUACUCAAUGUCGAUGCAACUCAUAGUGGAGGCUAAUUAUCAUACUACUAGGUUCAUCAAUAAGGCUAAGGCUAAGUGCCAGGCUGUUAUACACAAUGUAACUCAUCAGGUUACCCAAUCUCUCAGCGAACUCGAGGCUCGUGCACAGUCUCACGUCUGUAAGUCUCCUAGGGAGGUGGCUAGCUAUUCACCUACCCCGAGACCGCCUGCGGACACUACACUGGUCCAAGGGCAACUACACUGGCCCCCUCGCGUGCCAAACUCCGGAGUGCACUACCUGUGAGGAGCUACCUCCACAGGUGCAGACAGGCUAAGUGAGCUCGAUCCAAUCUCAUAAACUGGGAACAUCAUAAACUGGGAACAUCCUAUCAACUAAGGAUAAUGUCAUCAACUGGAAACACCCUAUCAUCUAGGGGUAACAACUCAUCAACUCAAUGCCAGUCUAAUACUCAACCUUCAGUGUUUCAACUACACUAAGGUUCUCAUAUGUGCUAUCAACUAGAUGCCACUCGUCAUAGGUUAACAUUAACUAGAUGCCACUCGUCAUAGGUUAACAUUAACUAGAUGCCACUCGUCCUUUACAAGUUUCCAAGACUCUAGUUCACACUUUACUAGGUUCUUCGUUCACACAACACAAACACUAGGUUAUCAUUUGCCUAGGUUCCAAUCCGUCACAUAUCAUCUCAUAUAGGGUUAAGGUGCACAUACUAACUUCAUGCAUACUAGAUUCAAGUGUUAUAUCUACCAAGCUACAUUAACACUAGCAUGCAAAUAUAGAUACAAGUUUCUAAACACCCUAUAUGCAACACCAUAAUAUGCAACUUGAUCAAUGACAGUUUAGAGUUUCCAAUGCAAUAGCCAAUACAUUACUAAGUUCUCAUCCACACCUAUCAUCUCAUUAUAGGGUUUCACAUCACAUAUAUAAACCUCAAGCAUGCUAGAUAUAAGCACUAAGCCAAAUACAUUACUCUUUCAAGAAGCAUGCAAUAUAUAUAUAUAUAUAACCAACCAUCAACUAUCACCCUAUAAUGCAUCAUGCUCAAUAUGCAUAAUUGAUCAACAUAGAAAUACUUAGACAUAAGGAGAAGCCCGAUUGCUUCGGGAUGGCACUCCCCCAC
rnacentral:lncRNA from 1 species